rnacentral:rRNA from 1 species
GAUAUCCCCGGAGGCCAGUUUGUUUGUCUUACUCUAAUAUUCAGGACCAAGAGGUACUGGAUUCUCUUUCGGAUAGGCCCUGAAAGGAGAAGAAAUGCUAAAAUGCCAAUGGACCUCUGUCUAUUCUCUAAUUCACCCGAUCCGACAGUACCCAUUUUUGGAAUGUCCAAUGCCAAAUUCACUGAAUGGGUAUGUCACCAAUCCACUCUCCGGGAACGGUAUCCAGCCUUAUACUGCAUUGUACGCGAUAGCGAUGUACUCUUGCACACAUGCUCAACUCUACCCCGCCAGAUGUAUCAUUUAAGAGGGACUUGA